CGAAAAUGGGGGGAAAAGGGAAAACUCGGAAUUUCUUGAAAUGAUCAUCAAAAUUCAAAAAGAAUCCUCGAGGACAAAGGCAGUUGCCUUUCGUACUACAACUUAUCCAAAUCCCACCAAAUCCGUACUACAGGGUAGAGGACGGCUUGGAUUAUUUCUCUUCCUCCUUGCACUUGACGUGGUGCCCAUCCAUGCGAGCAAGGAGGAUUCGAAAUGAUCUCUUCCAGCUGGAGGUGUAUGAUCGUACAACUAAAAGCUUAAAU
rnacentral:misc_RNA from 1 species